UUAACCCAACCCACAUUCUUCCUCAGUUGACUCGGCAUUCUCUUUCCCAAUUCAGUGUUUCACACUUUUACUUGCUCAGGUACAGGAAGAACCGAAUAUACCCUCACAAAUUCACUUCAACGUCACAGAGCUUGAGGGUUUACUCUCUGACCCAGAAAGCAAAAAUGGAAACGGGUAUUCAUUUUUAAGGCCCUUUGGUAGUCUCAUUGAUCAAAAGUUGAUAUUGGAGCUGUGUAAAUAGACAGAUUAACCCAAGAAUGGUGGGGAAUUCGAUUAUCCAUGUUUCAGCUGCUAGCUCUGUCCUAUUUCCUUCAUAUUUAAUAAACCCCAUUUCUCAAAAGGGCUCCCUGAACUUUGUUCCAUGCCUAAGUAUAUCUAGAAGGCCUAAAAAUGGAGUCUUUAGUGUAAAAGCUACAUCAUCUGCGAAUACGGGUAGUGGCCAACAGCAACCUGCAUCAUCUUCUGAACCAAAGAAUCCGUUAGCAGUUGUUUUGGACAUUCCUAAGAACAUUUGGAGGCAGACUCUGCGGCCAUUGAGUGAUUUUGGGUUUGGGAGGAGGAGCAUUUGGGAAGGUGGGGUCGGGAUGUUUUUGGUUUCAGGAGCAGUUUUGCUGGCGCUUACCUUGGCUUGGUUGAGAGGGUCUCAGUUGCGGUCGAAGUUCAGGAAGUACUUGGCUGUGUUCGAGUUUGAGCAAGCUUGUGGCAUUUGCACUGGGACGCCGGUUAGAAUUCGUGGGGUGAAUGUUGGCAGUGUAAUUCGGGUUAAUCCUUCGUUGAAAAGUAUUGAAGCUGUGGUUGAGGUUGAUGAUGAUAACGUAAUAAUCCCGCGUAAUUCAUUGGUUGAGGUGAAUCAGUCUGGACUGCUCAUGGAAACUUUGAUUGAUAUAACGCCUCGAAAUCCAAUCCCAACUCCUUCUAUAGGGCCUCUUGAUCCACACUGUGUCAAGGAGGGCCUAAUCGUGUGUGACCGGCAAAAGAUAAAGGGAUAUCAAGGCGUCAGCUUGGAUGCAUUGGUUGGGAUAUUCACUCGCCUUGGGCGUGAAGCGGAAGGAAUAGGUUUAGCAAAUACAUAUUCACUAGCUGAGCGGUUUGCUGUUGUUAUUGAAGAGGCACAACCGCUCCUUUCAAAGAUCAAAGCUAUGACUGAAGAUGUUCAACCUUUGCUGGCAGAAGUUCGAGAUAGUGGUUUGCUGAAGGAAUUUGAGAGUUUAAUGAAAAGCCUGACACAAGCCUCUGAGGACAUGCGGGUACCAAACAAGUUGAAAGCUUUUCAAUGAUUCAGGAGAGAUGACUGUCGAAAGGAAAGAUAACACAAAAAUGCUAGAAAGUGCAUGGAAGGUGCACUCAUUGGUUAUGACUCCUGAGAACACUGAGCUAAUCCGGAAGUCCAUAUAUAGCCUCAUUUUCACCUUAAAGAAUGUUGAAAACAUAAGCUCUGAUAUCUUAGGGUUUACUGGUGAUGAAGCUACAAGACGGAAUCUUAAACUGCUUAUUAAGUCUCUCAGCAGGCUGUUGUGAAGAUGGAAUGCGGAAGCUCGGUCGGGGUUUGUGGUUUACCCUAGAGCUGCAAAUGCAUUGAGUCCUGGAUCUGACUGCUUGCUCAGUUAGGGGAGGUUAGAUAUAAUCUUCUGGCUGGUUUUUUAUUAAUGGACUUUAAUUGGUAUCCUUAAGUAAUGAGGGUAACUAACCUUUUUACAGUUUAGGAAAGCCAAAAAGUUUUGCACAUUUUUUUUUUUCCUGGUUGAGCAAUGUUGUGAAAGAUCUCUUGUAAGUUGCAAGUACAAUUGUGUAUGAAGUAAUUUCGUAUAGUUUAAGU